rnacentral:rRNA from 1 species
UGGUGGAGUGAUUUGUCUGGUUAAUUCCGUUAACGAACGAGACCUUAACCUGCUAAAUAUGCCGCGCUAACCCGUCCAUCAAAACCCAUGCGCGGCUCACGCGGUCCGCUGCGGGGUGGUGUCGCUUCGCGGCGACGUCAUCCCGCCGGCAGGGCCCGGGUCCGUGUGGGCGGUAGGGUUCGGCGUCCGUGCUUCUUAGAGGGACUGCUGCGCGCCUAGCCAGCGGAAGUUUGAGGCAAUAACA